rnacentral:rRNA from 1 species
UCCUGGCUCAGAUUGAACGCUGGCGGCAUGCUUUACACAUGCAAGUCGAACGGUAACAGGGUCUUCGGAUGCUGACGAGUGGCGAACGGGUGAGUAAUGUAUCGGAACGUGCCCAGUAGUGGGGGAGUAACUACUCGAAAGAGUGGCUAAUACCGCAUGAGAACUGAGGUUGAAAGCGGGGGACCUUCGGGCCUCGCGCUACUGGAGCGGCCGAUAUCAGAUUAGGUAGUUGGUGGGGUAAAGGCCCACCAAGGCGACGAUCAGUAGCUGGUCUGAGAGGACGAUCAGCCACACUGGGACUGAGACACGGCCCAGACUCCUACGGGAGGCAGCAGUGGGGAAUUUUGGACAAUGGGGGCAACCCUGAUCCAGCAAUGCCGCGUGAGUGAAGAAGGCCUUCGGGUUGUAAAGCUCUUUUGUCAGGGAAGAAACAGCAGCUCUAACACAGUCUGCGAAUGACGGUACCUGAAGAAUAAGCACCGGCUAACUACGUG